GAUGAACGCUAGCGGCAGGCCUAACACAUGCAAGUCGAGGGGUAGAACACUUCGGUGUUUGAGACCGGCGCACGGGUGCGUAACGCGUAUGCAAUCUACCUUGUACAGGGGAAUAGCCCAGAGAAAUUUGGGUUAAUGCCCCAUAGUAUAUAACCUUCGCAUGUUGGUUAUAUUAAAGUUCCAACGGUACAAGAUGAGCAUGCGUCCCAUUAGUUAGUUGGUAAGGUAACGGCUUACCAAGACGAUGAUGGGUAGGGGUCCUGAGAGGGAGAUCCCCCACAAUGGUACUGAGACACGGACCAGGCGCCUACGGGAGGCAGCAGUGAGGAAUAUUGGUCAAUGGGCGCAAGCCUGAACCAGCCAUGCCGCGUGCAGGAAGACGGUCCUAUGGAUUGUAAACUGCUUUUAUACAGGAAGAAACCCUCCCACGUGUGGGAGAUUGACGGUACUGUAGGAAUAAGGAUCGGCUAACUCCGUGCCAGCCGCCGCCGUAACAC
rnacentral:rRNA from 1 species